GUAGGUGGCAAGCGUUGUCCGGAAUUAUUGGGCGUAAAGCGCGCGCAGGCGGUUCUUUAAGUCUGAUGUGAAAGCCCACGGGCUCAACCGUGGAGGGUCAUUGGAAACUGGAGAACUUGAGUACAGAAGAGGAAAGCGGAAUUCCACGUGUAGCGGUGAAAUGCGUAGAGAUGUGGAGGAACACCAGUGGCGAAGGCGGCUUUCUGGUCUGUAACUGACGCUGAGGCGCGAAAGCGUGGGGAGCAAACAGGAUUAGAUACCCUGGUAGUCCACGCCGUAAACGAUGAGUGCUAAGUGGUUAGGGGGUUUCCCGCCCCUUAGUGCUGCAGCUAACGCAUUAAGCACUCCGCCGUGGGGAGUACGGCCGCAAGGCUAG
rnacentral:rRNA from 1 species